UUUCCUAUUUCUUCUUUUAUUCUUCCCGACUCUCUCUCGCGUCUCUCUCGCGUCUCUCUCGUUACAAACGGCGAUAGAACAUGCGAUUCCCUGCAACUAUCAUCACCUUCCAGCUCAGUCUCAUCGUCAUUACGGUUGCUUCACUGCGGCGACGGAACCAUCGGCGGAUGGUGUGAUAACGACGGCGGAUGGUGAGUCUGAUUGCCUUAAAGGGACGGCGGAGUCCACCGGCGAGCGAGUCGCGCACACAAGGACAUUGAUGGGAAUGAUGUUGCUUUGGAAAAAUUCAAGGGGAAAGUUCUGUUGAUCGUGGGUUUAGUGGAGUUGAUCAUCCUGUUAGCCUAUGAUGGGUUUUGUCAAGACUCGCUCCUGAUUAAGUCGCUUUUGAAAUUAGACAAACCCUUGUUCUAUUGGGAAGCAAUUCACUGUUUUUUUUCAUGCUUCUUCUUCUUGUUUAUAACUGAGUCAAUUCAAGGGAAUUGAGUUUUAUCAAGGUAGAUUUUUGACAAGGUUGCGUGAACCUUGAUUGAGUAUAUAUUACUAUCCAUAUGAUACUGUUAGUCAUUUGAGUGUCAAGCAAAGUAUAGGGGGUUCUUGGUUGUAUCUAUCAUGGUGGGAACCAGUUAUAGAAACAUGUUUGUAGCAGGUUAUGCCACAAGUUCCGCAUCCGUCAUUAGUGAUUUGCAUUCUAGAUAGUUUAUGUUUUUUCAAAUGUUUGAUGCAGGAUUUGUUGUUGGAUUCUUGUUACAAAUGAUGAGCACUGGGCAAAAGGGUCCAAAUUUUUAAAUGGCAACGUGGUGAAUCAUCAUCGUCUUUGACAACCGGAUUACUUCAUAAUGAGUCCCACGAGAUUGAGCUAUCUAACUACGGAGGAAUACCAAGUCCUGGUAGUGAGAGCCCGUCGGGUCUUCUUAAUGGACAGAGUUUAAAUGUUCAACCAAUUGCUGAUUUGGAUCUUUUUGUUGAAAGGCUCUACAGCUACUAUAGAGACAAAGGCCUUUGGUGUAUUAUCGUAAAGUGGGCUGUAUAGAAAGGUAAUUAGCAAAGAACUCACUCAUGUAGCUUCUACUUUCAUAUCACCGAUGUCUUUCUUUCCAUCAUGAAUGAAUCAUAGCCUUUUUUGUAUUUUUGGAUUCUUGUUUUGAAACGACGGUUUUACAUGAUAAUAGAGUUUGCUCAUUCAUAUAAUGACCAUGGGGAUCUGUCUCUC